UUUUUUUUUUUUUUUUUUUUUUUUUUUUUUUUCACCAAUGAGG
rnacentral:ribozyme from 1 species